rnacentral:rRNA from 1 species
UACGUAGGGAGCAAGCGUUGUCCGGAAUCAUUGGGCGUAAAGCGCGCGUAGGUGGCCACAUAAGUCCGUUGUGAAAGUCAAAGGCUCAACCUUUGAAAGCCGAUGGAUACUGUGUGGCUAGAGUACGGAAGAGGCGAGUGGAAUUCCUGGUGUAGCGGUGGAAUGCGCAGAUAUCAGGAAGAACACCGGUGGCGAAGGCGGAUCUCUGGGCCUUACCUGACGCUGAGGCGCGAAAGCUAGGGGAGCGAACAGG